rnacentral:rRNA from 1 species
AGAGUUUGAUCAUGGCUCAGAACGUACGCUGGCGGCACGCCUAACACAUGCAAGUCGAACGCAGUAGCAAUACUGAGUGGCAGACGGGUGAGUAACAUGUGGGAAUCUGCCUUGUGGUUCAGGACAACAUUGGGAAACCGAUGCUAAUACUGGAUAAGCCCUUACGGGGAAAGUUUUAAUGCCAUAAGAUGAGCCCGCAUUUGAUUAGUUAGUUGGUGAGGUAAUGGCUCACCAAGACAAUGAUCAAUAGCUGAUCUGAGAGGAUGAUCAGCCACACUGGGACUGAGACACGGCCCAGACUCCUACGGGAGGCAGCAGUGGGGAAUCUUGCACAAUGGAGGAAACUCUGAUGCAGCGAUGCCGCGUGAGUGAAGAAGGCCUUUGGGUUGUAAAGCUCUUUUGUAGGGGAAGAUAAUGACUGUACCCUAAGAAUAAGGUCCGGCUAACUUCGUGCCAGCAGCCGCGGUAAUACGAAGGGACCUAGCGUAGUUCGGAAUUACUGGGCGUAAAGCGCGCGUAGGCCGUUGAGUUAGUUAAUUGUGAAAUCCCAAAGCUUAACUUUGGAACUGCAAUUAAAACUGCUCGACUAGAGUUUGAUAGAGGAAAGCGGAAUACAUAGUGUAGAGGUGAAAUUCGUAGAUAUUAUGUAGAACACCAGUUGCGAAGGCGGCUUUCUGGAUCAACACUGACGCUGAGGCGCGAAAGUAUGGGUAGCAAAGAGGAUUAGAUACCCUCGUAGUCCAUACCAUAAACGAUGAUUGCUAGAUGUUGGAAAUUUAUUUUCAGUAUCGCAGCUAACGCAUUAAGCAAUCCGCCUGGGGAGUACGACCGCAAGGUUAAAACUCAAAUGAAUUGACGGGGACCCGCACAAGCGGUGGAGCAUGUGGUUUAAUUCGAAGAUACGCGCAGAACCUUACCAACCCUUGACAUGUCUGUCGCGAGUUUAGGAAACUAGACUUUUCGGUUCGGCCGGACAGAACACAGGUGCUGCAUGGCUGUCGUCAGCUCGUGUCGUGAGAUGUUGGGUUAAGUCCCGCAACGAGCGCAACCC